rnacentral:rRNA from 1 species
UACGUAGGGUGCGAGCGUUAAUCGGAAUUACUGGCGUAAAGCGUGCGCAGGCGGUGAUGUAAGACCGAUGUGAAAUCCCCGGGCUUAACCUGGGAACUGCAUUGGUGACUGCAUUGCUGGAGUAUGGCAGAGGGGGGUGGAAUUCCACGUGUAGCAGUGAAAUGCGUAGAGAUGUGGAGGAACACCGAUGGCGAAGGCAGCCCCUGGGCCAAUACUGACGCUCAUGCACGAAAGCGUGGGGAGCAAACAGG